UACGUAGGGUCCGAGCGUUAAUCGGAAUUACUGGGCGUAAAGCGUGCGCAGGCGGUUUUGUAAGCCAGAUGUGAAAGCCCCGGGCUUAACCUGGGAAUGGCAUUUGGGACUGCAAGGCUUGAGUGCGGCAGAGGAGACUGGAAUUCCUGGUGUAGCAGUGAAAUGCGUAGAUAUCAGGAGGAAUACCGAUGGCGAAGGCAGGUCUCUGGGCUGACACUGACGCUCAUGCACGAAAGCGUGGGGAGCAAACAGG
rnacentral:rRNA from 1 species